CGCGGAAGAUGUAACGGGGCUAAACCAUGCACCGAAGCUGCGGCAGCGAACGUAUCACCCAAGACAACUUUACGGAGUUGACGAUUGACGGAGCGAAGCGACGUCAAAGCGUUCAUUAAAGUCGAGUUGGCUUAGGGAUACGUUCGUUGGGUAGGGGAGCGUUCUGUAAGCCUGUGAAGGUGUGUCGUGAGGCAUGCUGGAGGUAUCAGAAGUGCGAAUGCUGACAUAAGUAACGAUAAAGCG
rnacentral:rRNA from 3 species